UCCUCUUCAUCUUCUUUGUUACACGACCCAGCUCUCUAAUUUCAUUCAACAUCACUCAAAACGACCACCACUCACCAACAAAUAGCCGCCUUUCCUCUCUGUCUCUCAUUUAAGGUAGUGCAGCAGCUGCCACAGGGGCAGUGGCUAUUAAUCACUCAUGGGUUGCUGCCAAUCAGGAUCUUGCCAUGGGAUUGUUAUUUGUAAUAGAUAUGCAGGCAUCAUUUUUGAAGAGUCUCUCGCUUUCAAUAAAAGUGGAGUUGGAUUACUGAUGGCUGUGAGUUUAUGGGUUGUGCAAAGCAUCGGAUUUUGCAGAUCUAUUAUCAUGGAUUUCAUGAAGGUCAUCGACCAGAGAGUUUGCGAAAUAAAGAGGGAGGUGAAUUUGAAGGUUUUGAAGGCUCCGGAGAUCGAACAGAACUGCUGAUGCUGAUGAUGGUGCAGUUGCAGUGAGUGGUGGUGAUGAUGAUGAUGAUUGAUGACGAUUGAAUUAGGUGAAAUUAAGAGCUUAAGACUGCCGAUAAAGUUCGGAAAUCAUAGAGGUUUUGCAUUUGUGGAGUUCGUCACAAAGCAAGAGGCACAAAAUGCACCCCAAGCACUUUCAAGCACCCAUCUUUAUGGGCGGCAUCUGGUACUGGAGAGAGCAAAAGAAGGUGAGAGUUUAGAAGAAUUACAGGCUCGAACGGCAGCUCAGUUUACUAAUGAGAUAAGCUGUUCAAGAAGAGGAAGCACAUGGCAAUUGUAAGGCUCGAAGAAAUAGAGCACAAAGUUGUAAAAAGAUUUCUAAAAGGGUAGGCCGAAAAUCAUGUUUCAAUCUUUUUUUUCGA